GCCACUCGAAAGUUCGUUCCAAACAGUAAGAAAUGUAUUUAUUUUUGCUUCAUAAAGAGCCCUUUUACAAGACUAUUAGUGAAGGGUACAUUCAAACAGUACUUUCAUGCUCCCUUUAGUGCAAACAUCAAAAGAUCUGUCCUUUGAAGCAAAUAGGGUAUAUUCGCUGACGUCAAGUCAUUUUUAUUUGUAUUGCGCCUUUCACAACACACAUCGUUAAAAGCAGCUUUACAGGACUCCAUCGCAGAGCAGAUCAUGCUUAUUACAUGGUUACUUAGCAGAGAUGGGACCAAGUCACACAUGUGCAAGUCUCAAAUAAGCCAGCUCAGGUAUUUCCGGUCAACUGUCAUUCCUGAAGAUGUUCUAUACGCGCUGCCUGCAGGAUCUACCUCAAGUCAACACAAAUGAUGAUUUACACCGCCUGAUUCAUUCAGAUUCAAAGACUUCAUCAAGCAAACGUGAAAAGGGAUGUAUUAUAUCCAGCUAUAUCCAUGACUACGAAGGUUGUUCUCAAAGACUCUAAACCCAUUGAGCUGUUGACCUGUCAUUGCUCAUGUGUGGCAGGGCUUGCACUAUGCAAUCAUGUUGCAGAUUUGCUCUACCAGACCUCACAUUACAGCCAGCAGGGAGUAACGGCUGUCCCCCUACUCACAGCUGCACAGGGUCUGAGCUACAGUGGCACAAACCUAGAACCCAGGAGUAACUUGUACAACGGGGCCUGUGACCGGACCUGUGACCUUCCAGACAUGUCAGUUCUGCGUGUGAAUGAGAUUUACCGAGGAAUGCCAAGGGAAACUGCUCCACCCACAACAACAAUGGGAAUAGCAUUUAUUAAAUGGUUUAUACAAAGAAUAUUCAGAGAUGGGAGAGUCAUAAAAACAAUCAAACAAAAGGUUGAUUACUUUUACCUACCUAUGCUUUUGGCUUGUCAGUUUCCAUGGUUAACUUUCAAUCAGUUUUUUUUACAAAGUUCAAAUAGUUUGGUUUUCAUUACAUUUCUUAGCAGUUUUCAUGUGCUCACUAUUGUCAUCUGCCACAAAUAUAUUCUAAUAGAACAGAAUUCUAGUAUACAAUGUAUACAAAUUAUGUUAUGUAGUUG